GACGAACGCUGGCGGCGUGCUUAACACAUGCAAGUCGAACGAUGAAACCUAGCUUGCUAGGUCGAUUAGUGGCGAACGGGUGAGUAACACGUGACUAACCUGCCCCUUUCUCUGGGAUAACGCCCCGAAAGGAGUGCUAAUACCGGAUACUCACAUCGAGGCACAUGCCUUGGUGUGGAAAGUUUUUCGGAAAGGGAUGGAGCCGGGGCCUAUCAGCUUGUUGGUGAGGUAACGGCUCACCAAGGCGACGACGGGUAGCCGGCCUGAGAGGGCGACCGGCCACACUGGGACUGAGCCACGGCCCAGACUCCUACGGGAGGCAGCAGUGGGGAAUAUUGCACAAUGGGCGCAAGCCUGAUGCAGCGACGCCGCGUGAGGGAUGAAGGUCUUCGGAUUGUAAACCUCUUUCAGUAGGGACGAAGCGAAAGUGACGGUACCUAAAGAAGAAGCACCGGCUAACUACGUGCCAGCAGCCGCAGUAA
rnacentral:rRNA from 1 species